ACAUACGACCAUACCUGCAGUAAAAUACGGGAUCCCGUCCGCUCUCCCAUAGUCAAGCCUGCAAGGGGCGGAUUAGUAGUUGGGUCGGUGACGACCAGCGAAUACCUGCUGUUGUAUGUU
rfam:Fusarium verticillioides 7600 chromosome 5, whole genome shotgun sequence.